rnacentral:rRNA from 1 species
CCUACGGGGGGCAGCAGUGAGGAAUAUUGGUCAAUGGGCGAUAGCCUGAACCAGCCAAGUCGCGUGAGGGAAGACGGCCCUAUGGGUUGUAAACCUCUUUUGUCGGGGAGCAAGGUCGCUACGUGUAGUGAUUUGAGAGUACCCGAAGAAAAAGCAUCGGCUAACUCCGUGCCAGCAGCCGCGGUAAUACGGAGGAUGCAAGCGUUAUCCGGAUUUAUUGGGUUUAAAGGGUGCGUAGGCGGGAGAUCAAGUCAGCGGUAAAAAUGCGGGGCCCAACCCCGUCGAGCCGUUGAAACUGGUUUUCUUGAGUGGGCGAGAGGUAUGCGGAAUGCGUGGUGUAGCGGUGAAAUGCAUAGAUAUCACGCAGAACCCCGAUUGCGAAGGCAGCAUACCGGCGCCCAACUGACGCUGAGGCACGAAAGCGUGGGUAUCGAACAGGAUUAGAUACCCCAGUAGUC